GACGAACGCUUGCGGCGUGCCUAAGAAAUGCAAGUCGAACGGGGUCCGUAGCAAUACGGGUCCAGUGGCGAACGGUCGCGUAACACGUAAGCAACCUGCCCUGGAGUGGGGGAUAACGUUCCGAAAGGGACGCUAAUACCGCAUGUGGUCGACUGGUGGCAUCACCGGUCGUCUAAAGAUUCAUCGCUCCGGGAUGGGCUUGCGGCCUAUCAGGUAGUUGGCGGGGUAACGGCCCACCAAGCCGACGACGGGAGCUGGUCUGAGAGGACGAUCAGCCGGAUUGGGACUGAGAUACGGCCCAGACUCCUACGGGGGGCAGCAAUUAGGAAUCUUGCACAAUGGGCGAAAGCCUGAUGCAGCGACGCCGCGUGGGGACGAAGGUCUCGCCUCGUAAACCCUUUGACAGGGAAGAAGAAUGUGACGGUACCUGUCGAAUC
rnacentral:rRNA from 1 species